rnacentral:rRNA from 1 species
GGAAGUAAAAAGUCGUAACAAGGUCUCCGUUGGUGAACCAGCGGAGGGAUCAUUACCGAGUUUACAACUCCCAAACCCCUGUGAACAUACCACUUGUUGCCUCGGCGGAUCAGCCCGCUCCCGGUAAAACGGGACGGCCCGCCAGAGGACCCCUAAACUCUGUUUCUAUAUGUAACUUCUGAGUAAAACCAUAAAUAAAUCAAAACUUUCAACAACGGAUCUCUUGGUUCUGGCAUCGAUGAAGAACGCAGCAAAAUGCGAUAAGUAAUGUGAAUUGCAGAAUUCAGUGAAUCAUCGAAUCUUUGAACGCACAUUGCGCCCGCCAGUAUUCUGGCGGGCAUGCCUGUUCGAGCGUCAUUUCAACCCUCAAGCACAGCUUGGUGUUGGGACUCGCGUUAAUUCGCGUUCCCCAAAUUGAUUGGCGGUCACGUCGAGCUUCCAUAGCGUAGUAGUAAAACCCUCGUUACUGGUAAUCGUCGCGGCCACGCCGUUAAACCCCAACUUCUGAAUGUUGACCUCGGAUCAGGUAGGAAUACCCGCUGAACUUAAGCAUAUCAAUAAGCGGAGGAA